rnacentral:rRNA from 1 species
GGUAGUCCACGCCGUAAACGAUGAGUGCUAAGUGUUAGAGGGUUUCCGCCCUUUAGUGAUGAAGUUAAUGCAUUAAGCACUCCCCCUGGGGAGUACGGCCGCAAGGCUUAAACUCAAAGGAAUUGCCGGGGGCCCGCACAAGCGGUGGAGCAUGUGGUUUAAUUUGAAGCAACGGGAAGAACCUUACCAGGUCUUGACAUCCUCUGAAAACCCUAGAGAUAGGGCUUCUCCUUCGGGAGCAGAGUGACAGGUGGUGCAUGGUUGUCGUCAGCUCGUGUCGUGAGAUGUUGGGUUAAGUCCCGCAACGAGCGCAACCCUUGAUCUUAGUUGCCAUCAUUAAGUUGGGCACUCUAAGGUGACCUCCGGUGACAAACCGGAGGAAGGUGGGGAUGACGUCAAAUCAUCAUGCCCCUUAUGACCUGGGCUACACACGUGCUACAAUGGACGGUACAAAGAGCUGCAAGACCGCGAGGUGGAGCUAAUCUCAUAAAACCGUUCUCAGUUCGGAUUGUAGGCUGCAACUCGCCUACAUGAAGCUGGAAUCGCUAGUAAUCGCGGAUCAGCAUGCCGCGGUGAAUACGUUCCCGGGCCUUGUACACACCGCCCGUCACACCACGAGAGUUUGUAACACCCGAAGUCGGUGGGGCAAC